GUCAGUGGGGCCUGACGGUCAUAAAAGCAGCCGGUAGAGGCCGUUGUCCAAGAAGAGCAGCUUGGGGUGCAGAGAGGGGAGGUCCCCAAACCUCAAAGGCGUGUGGGCAGAAGAUCAAUGCAGUCAGGUCCAGAGGGGUGUGUGCCAGGGGCAGGAGCGAGGCGGUGCUGCUCAGGGUGGACACGGAGCUGUGACGACGCUGGUUUUCUAGAUUCCUGCUAUGAAUGAGACUAUCAGAAUCCCUCGUCCAGGCAGCCGGGCCUUGUCAGCUCGCCAUGGCUUCGAGGACGCACAUUCCUCGCCCUCUCCGGCAGCGACCCCCUGGGUCCCGACACAGCCACCCUCAUGUUCCCUUGAAGUGAAAAAAGGCUGAGAAACAGCAUUCAGAUGCCUCCAUGCCCCAGCGCCCUACAGGCAGAGCCGGUCACCUGGAGGUCCCCUCUGCAGUGGGGAGCCCGUCUGCCCAUCGCGGCCACCUCCUGCGCUGUCCGGGACCUGCGUGGGAAGAGAAGAGCCAGUAAAGCCCAAGCAGAGAGUGAAGUGUUCAGGAUGCUUGUGUGUGAGUGAAAUCCCCCAAGGAGCGAUGCACAGAGGUGAUUGGGCAGGGCUCAGAAGGAAACCAGGAGGUCCUACCACUAGCUGGCAGGUGCUUCACCAGUUCCAUUGCCCUCCUGGCCCUUCACCUGCUCUGCUCCAGGACAUCUGUGUUCCGCGGACAUCUGUGAUCAGGUCCUGUGUGCGUCAUGCUUCUCCUGGCCCCUCUGACUGGGCCCAGGCCCUGACCCCUCUCCAGAGCCUCGCCCUCCCCUGGCAUGCUCCUGCUCACUUGGUGGCUGCAUUUUGGGCGGGACUUCUGCAGGGUGUGGCAGUCUUAUUAGUUGUCGGGUGGGUGAACACUCUUGCUGUGUUUUGAGUGGUGUGGUCGGCAGAAACAGCACAAAUUUAGCAGGGCAUUCAUUAUCCUCCUGCUGGCCCGCCCGCCUUGGCUAGAGCUAAUGGAUGGGACUGAGGUGUCAUUGUCUUCAUGGCUUUCUGCAGGAGCCACCGCAUUCCUGCGGAACUUGAGGAGCCAGUGGCGUCUUUGGGGAGGUCUGAGGUUGGUGGGGGGGGGCUGAGGGGCAGGACUGAAUGGUCCGUUCUUGCUUUCCUGUUCACCCUCCACCAGGGGGCCUGGCAUGGUGGUGGUGCUACCACCCUCCUUGGUGUCCUGCACCUGGGGACCCGGAAUGGAUGUGGCGCUUUGCUCUGGGGCAUCCUCCUGCAGGGGGUCUAGAAUGGAGGUGGCGCUGUCCUCCGACUGGGGGCCUGGAAUUGAGGUGGCGCUCUGAUCUGGGGCACCCUCCUGCAGGAGGUCCGGAAUGGAGGUGGCGCUCUCCUCCCAGGCGUCCUCCUGCAGGGGGUGUGACCUGGGGGUGGCGCUGUCCUCCACCUGGGGGUCCGGAAUUGUGGUGGCACUUUGCUCUGGGGCUUCCUCCUGCAGGGGCUCUUGAAUGGAGGUGGCACUGUCCUCCGCCUGUGGGUCUGGAAUUGAGGUGGCGCUCUGAUCUGGGGCACCCUCCUGCAGGGGGUCCGGAAUGGAGGUGGCGCUCUCCUCCCAGGCAUCCUCCCGCAGGGGUCGUGACCUGGGGGUGGCGCUGUCCUCCACCUGGGGGUCCGGAAUUGACGUGGUGCUGGGCUCCGGGGCAACCUCCUGCAGGAUGUCCAGAAUGGAGGUGGAGCUCUCCUCCCAGGCGUCCUCCUGCAGGGGGCCCGGCGUGGGGGUGGCGCUGCGCUCUGGGGCGUCCCUCUGCAGGGGCCUGACGUGUGGGUGGAAGAGUCCUCCCAGGUAUCCCCCACCUGGGAGCUGGCACUGUGCUCUGAGGCUCGGUCCUGCGGGAUUUUCACGCAUUUGGUCCUGCGGCCCGGGGUGGCCAGGAGGCUGAACACAGCUGACGCAGCGGCAUCCUCUGUCUGUCCAGCCUCCUGGCUUUGCUCAUACCCGGACACCUGCAGGAGGCCCUCCCCGGAGUCCCGGGCACCAGGGGUCACGGCGCGUGGGCAGGGCUCCUGGGGGGCGGGGAGACUCGGCCACGCCUCCCCCUCCUCGGGGCUCCCCUCCCCCCGCCUCCGGGACCCAGGAUGAGGUCCGUCCCCAUCACCUCGUCGAAUCUUCGCUCCACCACGGUCGUCUGGCUCUGUUGUCUCUGAUCGCCCAUA